rnacentral:misc_RNA from 1 species
GUCUUGGAAAUUCUGAAACCUGAAGAUCAUAAGUUGUUCAGACAAAGACAAAGCAUUCGAUAGAGUAGAUGGAGUUGGAACUGCACUGGAAACAUCUGCAAUUGGCAACAAACAAUUUGCAAGAAGAGCACUGCUUGUUGCUGUGAAGUAGCUUUCCCAGUAAUGGGGUGGAGGGAUUCUGUCAAAUGCCUCUAGAUCGAUUUCGAAGAGCUCUUCUUCCUCAUCUUCCAUAUCUAUUGUGCCAGAAUCUUUGAGAACUACAGAAUCCAUUGUUGGUUGCAGUUGCUGGGCUCUGAUUUGUGGGUUUGUUUUUGGAGACUUGGGUUUAAUUAUAUAGGAGGUGGUGGGGAGUGGGAAGGUGGUAAGUAGAGCGCUCUUCAACAAAUCUACAACAAUCAAACAGAAUUU